AUGGCGUACUUCGUGCCCGGAAUGAUGCACAUUGUGAUGGGCUUGUUGGUACUCACAAUGGGCCAAGACCUCCCCGAUGGCAACCUUGCAAGCCUCCAGAAGAAGGGAGACAUGGCCAAGGACAAGUUCUCCAAGGUCCUUUGGGGUGCCGUCACCAACUACCGGACAUGGAUCUUCGUCCUCCUCUACGGCUAUUGCAUGGGCGUCGAACUCACCACCGACAACGUCAUCGCCGAGUACUACUAUGACCACUUUCACCUAGACCUUCGCGCCGCUGGCACAAUCGCCGCUUGCUUCGGCAUGGCCAACAUCGUCGCACGUCCUAUGGGCGGCUACCUCUCCGACCUUGGCGCUCGGUACUUCGGCAUGCGUGCUCGCCUUUGGAACAUCUGGAUCCUCCAGACCGCUGGCGGAGCUUUCUGCAUCUGGCUCGGUCGUGCAUUGGCCCUUCCUGCCUCAGUGACUGCCAUGGUCCUCUUCUCCAUCUGCGCCCAGGCUGCAUGUGGUGCUGUAUUUGGGGUCGCACCAUUCGUUUCCAGACGUUCCCUUGGGAUCAUCUCUGGGCUCACCGGCGCGGGUGGCAAUGUGGGUGCUGGGCUCACACAACUUCUAUUCUUCACUUCGUCGCAAUACUCCACUGGGAGGGGUCUCGAGUACAUGGGCAUCAUGAUCAUGGCUUGUACGCUGCCCGUCGCUCUUGUGCACUUCCCACAGUGGGGCUCCAUGUUCUUCCCAGCCAGCGCCGAUGCCACUGAGGAAGAGUACUACGCCUCCGAGUGGUCGGAGGAGGAGAAAAGCAAGGGUCUCCAUAUCGCAGGUCAAAAGUUCGCCGAGAACUCCCGCUCGGAACGUGGAAGGCGCAACGUCGUCCUUGCCACAUCUGCCACGCCACCCAACAACACACCCCAACACGUAUAA
rnacentral:rRNA from 1 species